AGAACAGGGAGGGCAUCAGAGCAGGAGCAUUAAGGACAAACUUCAAUCAGCGCUAGGCAGAGACCGGGUUUAAAGAGCAGGGAAGUACUGUAGCUGCAUCUUUCCCAGCAAGGAGCAAUGCUGCAUUAACGUAAGGAGAAGAGGAGGAGGAAGACAGUAUUUAUUUCUCUCUUUCUGGCACAUUCAUCUACGCCUACUUCUCUCGCUCACACUCUUUCAUUUUCUCUUUCAUACACACACUUGCACAUCCUAUUCCUCUAUUUGAUCUCAUUCUUUCUGUCUCACACACACACACACACACUCUCUCCUUAUCCCUCUCCCUCUAUAGGGGUCUACGGACAAUGUGCAAACAUGGCCGACAGAGCGUAGCACAGUGUUGCAAUGUCGUUUUUCGUCAUAAAAGGGGUGGCUCCUUGUAAUACGCUCUGCAUUCAACUCAAUUUUUUUUCCUACCUGGAAAUUGAGAACCGACAUAUCAUUCCUUGCGAAGACUGAGGGGCAGUAUUGAGUGAGUUCUGCAACGGAAGUCCCACCCCGGUGUCUACAUCACAUCUUUUCCAGUAUCCCUUCUGGUAUAAAUACAGAAGCGAUGGGCAUUCUGCUACUUAGCCUCUACUACUUGCAAGCUUCCUUUUUUGUGCUUUUUGAACACCGAUACUGAAAUCAAAGAAACAUAGAGAAAGAUUCGGGACCGGUAUAUUCGGAAUCUGAAAAGGGUGAAGGAGAGGAAUGGGGCUGCCGCAGGUGUUGGAGGAGGGUGGAGUUUGGACAGUCCAGAGAUGGAGCUGAGCUCUGAGGGCCCAUCUACAGGUGGUUCAUCGCCCCUUGAUUCAUCAUCUCCCCGGCCUGGUUCAUCACAUUUCCCUCUUGUGAUAGUAAAUAAAGAUCUAAAAGUA